rnacentral:rRNA from 1 species
UACGUAGGGCGCAAGCGUUGUCCGGAAUUAUUGGGCGUAAAGAGCUCGUAGGCGGUCUGUCGCGUCCGUUGUGAAAACUCGAGGCUCAACCUCGGGCUUGCAGUGGAUACGGGCAGACUAGAGUGCGGUAGGGGAGACUGGAAUUCCUGGUGUAGCGGUGGAAUGCGCAGAUAUCAGGAGGAACACCGGUGGCGAAGGCGGGUCUCUGGGCCGAUACUGACGCUGAGGAGCGAAAGCGUGGGGGAGCGAACAGG